UUGAACGCGGCGCGGCCCGGCAGCGCGCUGUAUAGGCCCCGGCCGCGCUCACCGUGCACUGCUACCUGCAGCACGGACCGCCGCCGCCACCGCCUCUCUGGCCGAGUCCCACUGCUCUGUCAGGCGGCGGCGGGAGGAGCGGUCCCGUCCCCGCCCCUCCGAGCUGGGCUCGGCAGAUCCUCUCGCCCGCCCGCUGGAGGCCGCCCAAGCGGCACGGGGCGGUGUUCCGGCGCCGGCGUGAAGAGUGCGAGUGUAACUUCUUUGUAAGGAAGUUAGAAAUUGGCGAUAGGACAAAGGGAAACGGCCACAAACUGAAGCCUAGGAACUUCUGCACAAAUGUGCGUAAGGACUUCACAGCAAGGGUGACGGAGCACUGGAACAGGCUGCACAGAGUGGCUGUGGAGUCUCCUUCUCUGGAGACAUUCAAGACCCGCCUGGAUGCUUACCUGUGCAACCUGGUCUAGGGAGCCUGCUUUGGCAACAGGGGGGUUGGACUAGAUGAUCUCUAGAGGUCCCUUCCAGCCCCUACAAUUCUGUCAUUCUGUGAAAUUCUCUGCUGAGUUCCUGACUCUUAGGAUCUCCCACUGUUCGUUUGUAUUAGUGGUGAAGUCCUGCUGCUUUACCAAAUGGCCUUUUGCUGACCAGUUGAAUGGAUGCUGCUGCAAAAGCACUGCUGAAAUCCACACUAAUACAUAAAUCCAUCACCGAAAAUACAGAACUAUUUCUGACAAAGCAUCUAGGUGCAGUGUCAGGCUGACCCUGCCUCCACAGCACACUUUCAGUGUCAGCUUUAUUCAGCCUAUGGUGCUGUCUUGCAAGGUACCCAAACCAGGCUGCUUCUUUCUAAUGAUGACACAGAUAAUGUUGGAUAGUAGGAAAAGAAUAUUCUUAGAAAGAGUGGUGAGGCUUUGGAACAGGCUGACCAGGGAAGCAGUGGUGUCACCGCUCUGGAGGUGUUCAAGAGGGUAGGUGUGGAACUGAAGGUUAUGGUUAGCAGGCAUGGUGGGGAUUGGUCAACAGCUAGACUUAGAGGUCUUUUCCAACCUUAAUGAUUCUUUGAUUCUAUGUUUCUGCACACUGGUUGGGCCAGCACAGGUACCUGGUUUCUUGUAUGGCAGAGACGGCCAGCAGCUGGAGCAGUUACUUACAGCUACAGAGCAAGUGACUGACAUUGUUGUGUAAAGGUUGCAACUAGGUAGUGGUUCCUAAAAACAAACAAACAGAACCCUCAACAACAAUAACAACAACAAAAACCAACCAACCAAAACAACAACAACAAAGACAAAAAAAAAAACCAACAAAAAAAACAACCAAACCUGCCUGAAAUAUGUAUCACUGUCAAAUGAUAACUAGUUAUAACUAUGUGCUUCACAUAUUAAUGAAGAAAUACUUAGUCAAUAAAAAAUCCUCCUCCAAAAAGUACUUUGUGUUCAUUUGGAAAUUCAUGAGGUGGCUCACGGAUUUAAAACUGCUUUUUCAUUUUACAGAAUACAGUGUCUGCCAUGGAGCUGGCAAUGUCUCCAGAGUACAAGAACUGUCAGCCAAUGCAGUGGUACACAUCCAACAUGCAACUGGGAUGCUGCCAGCGGGGCUGCAUGGGUGCUGAGACAUGCUCACAGAUCCCACAGGUGAAAUAACCUAUGGAUUAUUGCAAGAAGGAAGGAAAUGUCAGAGAACUCAUUCUGACUGCUUAAGUGGUUACAAGAAACAGAACGAAGAUGACUACACUCAAUGAAGUUGCAUGCUUGUGAUACUGGAGAAAUAGAUAGAUAAAUCUGGCACCAUCUUCCUCAGUUCAUGUGGAACAUACUGGGACAAAGAUAUCCAAGAACAGUGAAGACUAACAGGUA